rnacentral:rRNA from 1 species
AGAGUUUGAUCAUGGCUCAGGACGAACGCUGGCUGCGUGCUUAACACAUGCAAGUCGAACGCUGAAGCCGACAGCUUGCUGUUGGUGGAUGAGUGGCGAACGGGUGAGUAACACGUGAGUAACCUGCCCCUGAUUUCGGGAUAAGCCUGGGAAACUGGGUCUAAUACCGGAUACGACCAUCUGACGCAUGUUGGGUGGUGGAAAGUUUUUCGAUCGGGGAUGGGCUCGCGGCCUAUCAGCUUGUUGGUGGGGUAAUGGCCUACCAAGGCGACGACGGGUAGCCGGCCUGAGAGGGCGACCGGCCACACUGGGACUGAGACACGGCCCAGACUCCUACGGGAGGCAGCAGUGGGGAAUAUUGCACAAUGGGGGAAACCCUGAUGCAGCGACGCAGCGUGCGGGAUGACGGCCUUCGGGUUGUAAACCGCUUUCAGCAGGGAAGAAGCGAGAGUGACGGUACCUGCAGAAGAAGUACCGGCUAACUACGUGCCAGCAGCCGCGGUAAUUC